AUGGCGGGCCGCAAAUUUGGGUCGUUCAAGUCGGAGAACAAGGGGGACUCGGCCGCGUCGGCGGCCGGCGCCGCGGCGCAGAGGAGGGACCCGUACGAGGUGCUGGGGGUGGGGCGCAAUGCCACGGAGCAGGAGAUCAAGAGCGCCUUCCGCCGCAUGGCCCUCAAGUACCAUCCAGAUAAGAAUGCAGACGACCCCGUUGCCUCUGAGAAGUUCCAAGAAGCCACAUUCUCUUACAACAUCCUCUCAGAUCCUGAUAAAAGGCGGCAGUAUGAUUCCUCUGGAUUCGAGGCCAUCGAAGCAGAUAGUCACGAACUAGAGCUGGACCUAUCAAGUCUCAACACUGUAAAUACAAUGUUUGCUGCUCUGUUUAGCAAGCUAGGAGUACCAAUCAAAACCACAGUUUCGGCAACAGUUUUAGAGGAGGCAUUGAAUGGCUCGGUGGAGAUUGCUCAGCUUCAUCUGGGCAAAUCCAUAUGCAGGAAGGUGGAAAAACAAUCAGCUCAUUUUUAUUCAGUGGACAUAACGGAAGAAGAAGCCAAAUUGGGGUUAGUGUGUAGAGUUUGUUCGACUGCUAAAAGUAAAUUCAAGUUGCUCUAUUUUGAACCUGAAGAAAACGGUGGGUUAAGCCUUGCUUUACAGGAAGAUAGUGCAAAGACAGGGAAAGUUACUUCUGCUGGGAUGUUCUUUCUUGGCUUUCCCGUGUACCGUUUUGAACAUAAUAAUUCAGCUGCUGCUGCAAAAGAUCCCGAUAGUGCAUUCUUUAAGAGAUUGGAUGGUUUUCAACCAUGCGAAGUUAAUGAACUGAAAGAAGGGACCCAUUAUUUUGCCGUUUAUGGUGAUAAUUUCUUCAAAAGUGCAACCUAUACCUUAGAGGUUGUAUGUGCUGAACCGUUUUCCACCGAAAAGGAGAAGCUACGAAGCGUGGAGGCAAAGAUACUUGCAAAACGGUCCGAGCUGUCUAAAUUUGAGUCGGAGUAUAGAGAGGUUUUAGCAAAGUUCACUGAGAUGACCAGCAGAUAUGCUCAAGAAAUGCAAACGAUCGAUGAGCUUCUCAACGAAAGGAAUGCCAUUCAUGCAUCCUACACCAACAGCCCAACUCUAAAGCGGAGUUCCAGUGACAGCAAAGGGAAAACAUCCUCUAAAGGGUCCAAAAGUGAUGGUGACCAAAGUGUAAGAAAAGAGAAGAAAUCUAAGAGUCCGACGACGAUGGAGGCAUCAGCGAGCGAUGAAGAGGGCCCUAAUAAAAAAGAAAAGAAACCUAAAGAGCGGCUUCGCAGGAAGAGAUGGUUCAACAUCCAUCAUUUGAAAGUGGACAAAAGAAGACCCUGCUGA
rnacentral:rRNA from 1 species